UACGUAGGGUGCAAGCGUUAAUCGGAAUUACUGGGCGUAAAGCGUGCGCAGGCGGCUUUGCAAGACAGAUGUGAAAUCCCCGGGCUUAACCUGGGAACUGCAUUUGUGACUGCAUGGCUAGAGUGCGGCAGAGGGGGAUGGAAUUCCGCGUGUAGCAGUGAAAUGCGUAGAUAUCUGGAGGAACACCGGUGGCGAAGGCGGCAUCCUGGACCAACACUGACGCUGAGGAGCGAAAGCCAGGGGAGCAAACGGG
rnacentral:rRNA from 1 species